GAAAAUACAGGCAGACACAAAGGUUCAAGAGGGCACAAUACUUUAUAUAAAUGGAACAAUUUCGAGUUAAAACACUGUUUGGUCAAAGACCACACCCGAAAUUAGUAUUGGGAGGACCAGUCAGCAGCGCUACCAACUCUGGGCAUGCUCGAGUUCUUCUUAGUAUCUGCAUCAACCUUAUAAGUAACCCCGCAAACCUGACCUUGGCUAUCAACCCUAGGCAUCGCUUUCAUUUCAUUCAUAGGGUGCUCGAAACUCUGCAAACCACCAGAGGUGGUGAAGAAGCAACCUUUUGGAAAUGGAGCAAAGGAUUUCUGGCAGCCCUUCUUAACAAUCUCAACAUCAUCGGAAAGUACAAGUUGGCCAUGCGCAUCAGCUCCCCAGAAAAACGGGACACUUCCAUCCGCAUCAGCUGCAAUGAAGGUGGACUUUGAUGAACCAUCAAACAGAACAAACGCAAAUUUUCCACCAAAAUCUCUCACAAC
rnacentral:misc_RNA from 1 species